CAAUAAAUAACAAAUAUUGAAAUAUUGCAUUUGCUGUCGGCCUGGCAGGCUGGAAUGGCGAGGUCAGGCCUGGCUCUGAGGGACCCUCAUUAAACCCAGUUCAGAGAGGCCCCUCAUUAAACCUGGCUUGGAGGACCCCUCAUUAAUCCCAGCCAGUUUAGGCAAGCAGAGCCUGGAGCUCCCAGGUUUUCAGCAGUUUCUUGGCAGCAAUGGUGGUGUUCUGAGGGAUCCCUGGUUAAACCAGGCUCUGAGGGGCCCCUGGUUAAGCCCAGCCCAGUUUAGGCUCAAAAAAAGCCUGGAGCUCCCAGGUUUUCAGCAGUUUCUUGGCAGCCAUGAUGAUGUUCAGAGGGAUCCCUGGUUAAACCCAGCUCUGAGGGAUCCCUGGUUAAGCCCAGCCCAGUUUAGGCAGGCACAGCCUGCAGCUCACAGGUUUUCAGCAGUUUCUUGGCAGCGAUGAUGGUGUUCUUCAUCAGCAUGGCCACCGUCAUGGGCCCCACGCCGCCGGGCACGGGUGUGAUGUAGCUCGCCUUCUUCCUCACCCCUGAGGGAAAAGCUGGGCUGAAGGGCCAGGCCAGGCUGCCCAGCCUAAAGCCAGGCAGGUUCUGUGGGGGUCUGGGUGGGUUUAUCCUGCUGGGAAGUGGGGCAAGGCCUGGCCUGGGGGUGAAGGACAAGGGGGGGAAAAGCGCCAAGCCAGGCCUGGAAGCACAAAGGCCCAAACCAGCAAAAAGCCAGGCCUUAAAGUACCAAAAAUCCAGGCCCGAAAGCGCCAAAAAGCCAGGGCCGGAAGUGCCAAAAAGCCAGGGCCGGAAGUGCCAAAAAGCCAGGGCCGGAAGUGCCAAAAAGCCAGGCCUUAAAGCGCCAAAAAGCCAGGCCUGAAAGCGCCAAAAAGCCAGGCCUGAAAGCGCCAAAAAGCCAGGCCUGAAGGUGCCAAAAAGCCAGGCCUGAAGGUGCCAAAAAGCCAGGCCUGAA
rnacentral:lncRNA from 1 species